rnacentral:lncRNA from 1 species
AAAUAUUUCCACAACUCAUAAAACAUAGUCCUCAAACUCGCAUAACUCAACAUCCAUUCGAUCAAAUAAUUUUUAAUAAUCAUUCUCAUCAAUUACUCAUGUUAUCAUAACACAUUCAGCCUCUUAAAUUAGUACCAAAUAAUAUUAAUUUGCGUUAGCUUUCCAACGUUUCAAAUCGCGUCUCGUUUCGAGUUACAGAACUCAAGUUAUGAUAAAAACAAAAAUAAAAGAAUUUUGCCACUGAAG